UACAAAAAUCAGCCAGGCAUGCUGGCAUGUGCCUGUAGUCCCAGCUACUCGGGAGGCUGAGGCAGGAGAACCCGAGAGGUGGAGGUUGCAAUGGGCCGAGAUCGAGCCACUGCACUCCAGCCUGGGUGACAGAGGACAGCCACUGGAAUCGGAGGAACCUGGCUGCUGAUCUGGGCUCCUUCACUUCUGGGAUAACCCCAGGCAAAUUAUCAACCUCUCCGGGCUGUUGUGGGAAUUAAACAGAAUAAUGCAUACAGGGCCCCUGUUAGCAUCAUAUGCAUCUAACAUGCUAGUCCUCUUCCUCCACCCGUUGGGAUCACCUUGUGACUUUCACCUUUUUUUGGUUGCUGUUGUUAUUUGGUUUUUCUUAGUUUACAUCAGACACCUUGUGCAGUGGGCGCCAUCUCCCUUUAUGGAAGGUGAAGAGGCCUCAUGCUUCUUGCCUCUGACACGUGAAGAACAGGAACACGAA
rnacentral:lncRNA from 10 species